rnacentral:rRNA from 1 species
AUUGAACGCUGGCGGCAGGCCUAACACAUGCAAGUCGAGCGAACGGCGGACGGGAGAGUAAUGUAUGGGGAUAUGACCGAUGGAGGGGGAUAACUACUGGUAACGAUGACUACUACCGCAUACUAUCGGCUGAACCCGUAUGGGAUUAGCAAGUAGGUGGGGUAAAGGCUGACCUAGAGCCGAUCUCUAGCUGGUAUGAGAGGAUGAACAGCCACACUGGGACGGAGGCACGGCCCAGACUCCUACGGGAGGCAGCAGUGGGGAAUAUUGAUCAAUGGGGGCAACCCUGACCCAGCCAUGCCGCGUGAAUGAAGAAGGCCUUCGGGUUGUAAAGUUCUUUCGGUAGCGAGGCGGUAACUACAGAAGAAGCACCGGCUAACUCCGUGCCAGCCGCCGCGGUAAUUC